GAGAUAAACUGGGAUAACGAGAACUGCUAAUUACUCGCCACCACAGUUCGAUUCUGUGGUUAACUCG
rnacentral:tRNA from 1 species